UGAUGAAACAGAAUGUGCGUCUCUUCUUGUCCUUUUUCGAAUCCAGAUGAGGAUAUGGAAGACGUUGACACACCAAACCAGACACCAGAAAAUGACGUUCCAGGUGAUGAAAACUCUAAGGAAAAGAAGGAAAUACCUGCAGAAAAAAAUGAUCCAGUGGAGGCUGAGAGAUCAGCUGGAGAGAGUAAACCCGAGGAAGACAAAGAGAGACAGGGGGAGAAGAAGGAGGAUUCAGAGGAUGGUGCUGGUAAGCUCUCUGCUCAUCUUAGAGUAAAGCACCAGUACUCACCCCACACUCACCAG
ensembl:lncRNA